AACGGAUUGAUGAUAUAAUUUUGAAUUAUUACAACAUUGACAGUGGUACGAAAAGAAAGUAAAAUCAACAAAAUAAUUACUGUCUUUAUUACUUUUUCUUCAUAAUAUUUAUAUAUAUAUUUUUUUUUUUUUUUUUUUUUUUUAUAGAAAGUACACUUGAAUAUAUUGUUAAAAAUGUGCUUUUUACUCAAAAUUUGUUAAGCGAAAAGUACCCCUGCAACAUACCCAAGUUGAAAAACUUGAAAACUGGGUAUAUAGAAUAUUAUGAAAGGAGCAGGACAAAGAAAAAAUUAAAUUCUAAAAAAAAGGGUAAAGAUAAUAAGAACAAAUCAAGUGAAAAUAAUUUUGAUGACAAAUCACCUGAAGAAACCUCAAAAGACAUGGGUAUAAGUUAUGAUGAAGAAUAUCGUUCUGUUUGAUUUAGCAACAGCUGUUAUGCAUUUAUAUAUAUAUAUAUAUAUAUAUAUAAUAUAUAUAUUAUUUACUAAUUUAAACUUUCAUAAUUUUUGCAACCCU
ensembl:lncRNA